rnacentral:rRNA from 1 species
AAUACUGCGCAAUGGAGGGAACUCUGACGCAGCGGCGCCGCGUGAGCGAUGAAGGUCAUCGGACCGUAAAGCUCUUGCCUUCGGGAAGAAGGUCUUCGGACUCGACGGCACCGAAGGAGGAAGGCCCUGCUAACUACGCGCCAGGCGCCGCGGUAAUACGUAGGGGGCAAGCGUUGUCCGGGAUUAUUGGGCGUAAAGGGUGCGUAGGCGGCCUUUUAAGUCAGAUGUGAAAGCCCACGGCUCAACCGUGGGAUUGCAUUUGAAACUGGAGGGCUUGAGUAUCGGAGAGGGUAGUGGAAUUCCCAGUGUAGCGGUGAAAUGCGUAGAUAUUGGGAGGAACACCAGUGGCGAAGGCGACUACCUGGACGAUUACUGACGCUGAUGCACGAAAGCUAGGGGAGCAAACA